rnacentral:lncRNA from 10 species
AGAAGAGCUAUUGUCUAACCACCCAGAGCACAGCCUUGUGUAUAUAAGGACCACACUUAAGCAGUGUGGAAACAGAGGUUGGAGGCAUCUAGGCCUGAUGAGUCCUUGGCAGCCUCUUAGAAUCCUUAUACCCUAGUAUGGGGUUCGGAAAGAGCCAAGAAUUCUUGUACUCCCCAAAAAGAGUCUGGCGGUGUUCAUGAGGGCUGGUGACCUGGAAAAGGCAUUCUGAUUGGGAUGACAAGGAUGCAGAGUCUAGAGCUGACAGCAGGGUGUGAUUGCUGAAACACAAGAAAGAGAGAAGAACUUUGCCCCCUUCUCCCAGUGCCAGCAGCCCAGAGGUAGCAGGAUCCUGUUGAAGAUGGGUAAUGUGCCAACAUCAUAACAAGGUUCAAGGGAGGCACAUCUCAUACGAGUGUGAAAAGGCAAUCAUCAUGCUUAUGAACUACAAGAUUAUCCUAUAUAUUCAUUUUCAAUUAUUUUAUCCUCCUCUGCCUCUUGCCCUGGACUAUAUAAGACCUGCAAUAUAAUGUUGAAUAAGGAAGGUGAAAACGAACAUCAUUGCAUCACUCCUGAUAUCAAAGGUAAUUCACUUCUGAGCAGGGUGCAGAACAGUAAACUAUAAUUUAAACAAGAAUCGAGACCUAAUUUAAAUCAUCGGAUCUACUGCGGAAAAAGGCAAACAGAACGACUAUAUUCUGCACGUGAUUUAGAGCUUCGCCUCGGUGCCAUUUCCGGGAGACCUAGAAAGUUCCAAGUUCUGAUCUCCCCUUCCCUACCUCUUUUCUUGACGUCUCUGGAACAAGCUAUCUGAAAGGAGAAAUAGUCACAUCACAAUUUUUUUUUUCUGGGCUCAUGUGAAUAUUGUUUCAGGGACAAGAAGAAAAAAAAAUUUGUCUUCUCUAUUUCCUUAAGAAGGUCAGCAAGAUGGAACAGUUGCAUUUCAUAUGCAGCCUCUCGAAGGACAUUCAUUUUCUCCAGCAGAGCCCCAGGGUGGACAAGGAGGGCCAGCUGUGUGCAGCGUCUGUUGUGUACAGCAUUCAGGACAAUGUCCUCUUGGAUCCCGAGCUCUCCACACAGACAGAGCAGAUAAAGGAAGGUCCCUCUCCUGGUCUUCCUUCCAGGGAGGCUGUUGCUGAGAGAGGUUAAGGGACCUCCCAGAGUCCUCCUCAGGUGGGAGCGGAAGGUUGGCAUUGCUGACCUCCCAUAAGCUUUUACCUGAACUUGGGCUCUGCCUGUCUUUGUUCUGAGGAAUGAGACUGCAAAGAAGCUCCCGAUCUGAAAAGGUGGCAUUUGCUAAGUUAGAAAAUGGAAGUACCACCCAGUCUGGGGGAUCCCAUAGGCACCCAAGAGUGCACCAAGCCACUAGGACCAAGCUCACCUGAGAGUCCCACCCUGCUCGGAAUAUGCAGACUUGGUGUCCUGUCGCUUUAAAGCACUCCAUGCCUGGAAAUGCCACGGCCCACAUGGAAUGGGCACAGCCAACAACUCUCCAAGGAGCCCCAGCAAUGAAUGAUGAGCAUCUCCCCUGAACCCAUCUCCCCAUGUCCGGUGUUUAAAGUGAAUUGAAAUGAAUAUCUGAUAAAUGAAUAAACCUGUAAAUGGAAUCAAAAACCUUAUGAACUUGAAGGAGAAAUAGGAGUCCCAGGUCUGUUAAGUCUAAAUUGAAUAAAUCUGAUCAACUGCCUGACAAUUUCUGCCAACAGCUUUUGAAGAGGAAGAAAAGGGGUGAGCAGAGAAAUUGGGUAGAGGAGAGGGAAGAGCGAGUGGGGUAGGGGAGGCAGGCAUGACUCAGUAAUGAAGCUAUCACCAGGAGUCCCCAGUGUUCCUUACCUGGACUAAUAAAUGGAUGACAAUAGGAGUUCCUUGCAAGUCUGUCUGCUCCUGUGUGUCUGCCCAGAGGACACCUCUAGAGAAUGAGAGAUUUGCAUAAAAUGGGGCCAAAGUCUCCUUUUGGGCCUUGCUGGACAAGGAGCUGAGGAAGAACUCUGGAGUCCUGGAAUCAGCUACUGGGCCUAGAUGAUCUCACCUGCUAGGAUGGGUCUGUAUGUUUGGGUAGCUUGAGCUGGAGGCAGGGAGGUCACAUUGAGGAUGCGCUCAAUGGCUCUCGAUUUGGCCUCUGCCACUCUUUGUUCUGUUGGGUAACUUACUUCCUGCAGUGGUUUUAAACAUGGCCACAGACUUCUUUAACACUCAUCUUAGUGAGAGGUGGUGGUGGUGGAUCUGUGUCUUCUUCUCUUGAAUCUAGGUGGCUUUGUGACUCCACUAAUACAGAACAGUGGCAUUGAUGCUGUCUGACUUUCCAGGCUGGGCUGGAAAAGGUUGUGCAACUUCUGCCUGAGUUUCUUGGGACACUGUCAUUGGGGGAAAACAGCCCCUAUGUAGGAAAUCCAAUUGCCCUGAGAGUGCCAUGCUGGAGAGGUGUUCCUGUUCAAGGCCAUGCCCCACUGAGCUCCCGGCCAGUGGCCAGGCUGGCCGUGGGGAAUGAACCCCGUGAGCCACUCAGUCUCGCCCAGCCUUCAGAUGACUGCAGUUCCAGCCCAUGUGUGACUGCAGCAGCUAAGUCACAGCUGCCUCGUCAAACUCUCCCCAAAUUUUUGACCUGCAAAAGUACAAACGCUAUAAAAUUAUUGUUUUAAGCUACUAAUUCAGGAGUAAUUUGUUAAUAGCAACCAAAACACACCCCUUCUUGGGUUUCAAUUUUUUUUCUGAACCAUGAAGGGUUAGACUAGAUAAUUUUUAAAACCAUACUUUGAAAGUUUUAAAUAGUAGAUGAACUUUUUUCAAUUGUUUUUAUUGUAGUAAAAUAUACAUAAAAUUUACCAUCUUAAACAUUUUUAAGUGUACGGUUCAGUGGUAUUAAAUAUAUUCACAAUGUUGUGUAACCAUCAUCACCAUCCAUCUCCGUAACUCAUUUCGUCCUGCAAAACUGAAACUCUGUACACAUUAAACAAUAACUCCGUCUUCCCCUUUCUCCUCCAGCCCCUGACAUCCACCAUUCUACUUUCUGCCUCUAUGAUUUAGACUACUCUAGGUAUCUCACAUAAGUGGAAUCAUACAAUGUUUGCCUUUUGGGCCUGGUUUAUUUCACUCAGCAUAAUGUUUUCAUGGUUCAUCCAGGUUGUAGUAUGUACCAGGAUUUCUUUCCUUUUUAAGACUGGAUAAUAUUUCAUUGUAUGUAUAUACAACAUUUUGCUUAUCCAUUCAUUUGUUGAUAGACACUUUUGUUUUUGCCAUGUUUUAGCUAUUGUGCAUUAAUGCUGGUGUGAACAGGAGUGUACAAAUGGAAAGAACCUGCUUCCAAUUAUGUCAAAUAGAUACCCAGAAGUGGAAUUGCUGAUUUACAUGCAUCCCAAGUUUCCUUGAAGAACCACCCCUUUUCCAUUCCAGUCCAGAGGUUUGGGUGGGAUUCUCUGCAUCCUCUGCCCCACCCUCAGGGAUGGGCAUGUGACCAAACCCUGGCCAUUCAGCAUUUGACCGUAGGGACUGAUGGAAGACUGCUAUGGAAAGCCAAGUGCAAUGCUGGGACUACUGAUGGGAAAGAGGUGUGCUUUUCACCUGGAACUGCUAAGGUGAUUAGAUGUAAGCCUAGGGUUACAGGGGAUGAUCUUGCCACCACACGAAGUGACCACAUCAGUGGCUAAUAAAGAGGAAAGAAAGUGGAGACACAUAUACAAUCACAUGAUUUACAACAAAUGCUCCACCACCGUUCAGGAGAGGAAGAGUUGCACUUUUUAAUUGAUG